GAAGUCUGCAGCGCGCUGGGUGACAUCGAAGUCAAGGGUUACAUUAUGUAAACGUGUCCUGCACAUGAAUCGUGUUUAAAAUCCACUGGAAAUUGCUUCGAGAGCCUCGAGUUGAUUCCGUAUGUUGUUGGAUUCUUCGUGUGCAUGUAACGUCAUGCUUAUUGUCCAAACUGGAAGUCCGACAUGUUGGAUGAUGACAACCACCAAGAUAGCAGCGCUUCACGUAAGAGCUGCUGCAUGGCUUCAUGGUUCUCUUUUGAUUUCUUUGCCUUUGAAGAAAGACAAUGCCUACUUUGUGUGUGGGAUAUAAUCGUGGUAAUAAUGCUACUCAUGACAAAGAGGUUCUUCAGAACUCCCAAAAUAAUUAAAAACGGUAACAAAACGGAUGAAGAGAAUGCCGUGCGUAUGCUGUGGUUCAAAAAACAUACAUCGUAAGGACUUAACUAAGUAAAAAGCUAAAGCUUUAUAUCUGGAGCACCGGCAAACCUACGUGAUAAAUCCAGGUCGGGCACCAAUGCUCAAAUUAGGACACGAUAAGGUCAAGAAAAAAAAAAAAAAAACACAACUCAUCUCGCAGUAUCAAGAAGCAACAGGAUAAAUCAAAGACCUGCUGAGAAAUCCAGAUUAGAAGCAGCGCAAACUUUAGCGAGUUUGGAUACACAAGGAGGAGAAUACAUAUGGGUCAACUUUACCAGUGUCCUGUGAUAGACUGGUGUCCCAUCCAUGGUGUGUCGUGUCCCAAGCUUGUGGACAGCGUUCCUGGAUUCAUCACAUCCCUGACCAGGAUGCUGAAGGACGCUGCCAUGUUGCCUGCUGGAAGGGAGAUGACGUCAUUUGGGCGCAAGGCUGAGUGUAUACUUCAGUACUGAAGGGGCAAAGUGAAAGGUCUACUAAGGUGACAAUGUUGAUUUUUUCACUAUACAUCUGAAAUAGUGUAUUAAUGAGCUGCAACCCUGACUUAUGGACAAACCUGAACUCUACCUGUAAAACGAGGCUGAAACUAUGCGUUAUACUACUCAUUCACAUGCUCGCGACUCAUUCAUGAAAAACUUCCUCAUCAAGACAUCACCAGGCUAGCCUACUGUAAUUACCAUAGUAGACGGUUGGGCGCAAGUGUCUUGCACCCAAAUGAGGUCAGAACACUGCCGGGGGGAUUUUUCUCAUCUCAUUAUCUGUAGCCGCUUUAUCCUGUCCUACAGGGUCGCAGGCAAGCUGGAGCCUAUCCCAGCUGACUACGGGCGAAAGGCGGGGUACACCCUGGACAAGUCGCCAGGUCAUCACAGGGCUGACACAUAGACACAGACAACCAUUCACACCUACAGUCAAUUUAGAGUCACCAGUUAACCUAACCUGCAUGUCUUUGGACUGUGGGGGAAACCGGAGCACCCGGAGGAAACCCACGCGGACACGGGGAGAACAUGCAAACUCUGCACAGAAAGGCCCUCGCCAGCCACGGGGCUCAAACCCGGACCUUCUUGCUGUGAGGCGACAGCGCUAACCACUACACCACCGUGCCGCCUGGGGAUUUUUCUGAUGGGUUAAAAUAUUUUCAAUGGCGGCCUUCAUGAAAUCAUCCAUUCUGCAUAGAAACUUGACUUUUGGAGAUGGAUAUCUUAGUUGGGUGAGCUCCUUAUUUUCAAUUAUUCACAUGAAUCGUUAGUUUAUAUCAUAAUCUAUCUUCAUAACUGUAUUUUAAAAAUGGGUUUUCUUUUCUUUUAAUAUUAAUAGGACCAUAAGAAAGAAAAGUGUGACAUGUCCAAACAUGGUGAUUCAUUUAUCUUCAGUAAAUGCUUUUAUCUUGCUCAGUCAAGAUGGAUCUGGAGACUAUCCCAGAAACAAGGCCAUUACAGGACACAUUUAGAUGCGCCAAAUCCUGUUUUUUGGGAGGUCGGAGGAAACUGGAGGAAACCCACCAGACACAGGGAGAACAUCUGAAACGCCAUACAGACAGUAACCCGAGCUCAGGAUCAAUCCAAGGAGCUGGGAAGGAGAAACGCUGUGUCAUCGUGUUUCUCCAGUCAUGGUGCAUGUCUUUAAAUAUAAAUGUGA